UACGUAGGGUGCAAGCAUUAAUCGGAAUUAUUGGGCGUAAAGGGCGCGUAGGCGGAUUAACAAGUUGGAUGUGAAAUCCUAGGGCUCAACCUUAGAACUGCAUCCGAAACUGUUAAACUAGAGGGUAGGCGGAGAAAACGGAAUUCCACAAGUAGCGGUGAAAUGCGUAGAUAUGUGGAAGAACACCUGUGGCGAAAGCGGUUUUCUAGCUUAUUCCUGACGCUGAGGCGCGAAAGCGUGGGGAGCAAACAGG
rnacentral:rRNA from 1 species